rnacentral:rRNA from 1 species
AUUAGAUACCCGUCUAUUCAUGACAUAUAAUAAUAGUUGAAUAUUACGAACAACAGUUUAAAAUUCAAAGAUUUUGGCGGUGUCUUAUAAAACCAGGGGAACCUGUCUCAUAACUCGAUAAUCCACGUAUACUCAACCUUCCUUAGAUAUCAGCAUGUGUACUGCCGUUGUAAGCAUACCUUUAAAAGUAAGUAUGCUACCAUGAUUAAAUACCACAUACAUCAGGUCAAAGUGCAGCUAAUAAGAAGGUGAUGAUGGGUUACAACCCUAAAUAAGAUAAUCAACUAAGAAAUAAAAAAUUUUACGAAAGUGGACUUGGCUGUAAUUAAUUUAUAAGUUAAAGAAAUGAAUAAAUCUCUAAGACAUGCACACAUCGCCCGUCACUCUAUCCUAAAGGUUAGAUAAGUCGUAAC